rnacentral:pre_miRNA from 1 species
ACUUCCGGCAGCGGGUUGACAAAUGGUGCUUUGAUAAUAAUGCUAUGCCCCUUUGUCAAUCCACUGCUGGACGA